AGAUUGAACGCUGGCGGCAGGCCUAACACAUGCAAGUCGAGCGGCAGCACGGGUACUUGUACCUGGUGGCGAGCGGCGGACGGGUGAGUAAUGCCUAGGAAUCUGCCUGGUAGUGGGGGAUAACGCUCGGAAACGGACGCUAAUACCGCAUACGUCCUACGGGAGAAAGCAGGGGGACCUUCGGGCCUUGCGCUAUCAGAUGAGCCUAGGUCGGAUUAGCUAGUUGGUGAGGUAAUGGCUCACCAAGGCGACGAUCCGUAACUGGUCUGAGAGGAUGAUCAGUCACACUGGAACUGAGACACGGUCCAGACUCCUACGGGAGCAGCAGUGGGAAUAUUGGACAAGUGGGCGAAAGCCUGAUCCAGCCAUGCCGCGUGUGUGAAGAAGGUCUUCGGAUUGUAAAGCAACUUUAAGUUGGAGAAGGCAGUUACCUAAUACGUAUCGUAGUUUGACGUUACGACAGAAUAAGCACCGGCUAACUCUGUCG
rnacentral:rRNA from 1 species